UACGGAAUGUGCAACCGUUAUUCGGAAUCACUGGGCUUAAAGAGUCCGUAGGCGGCAUGUUAGGUGAGGUGUGAAAUCCCCCGGCUCAACCGAGGAAUUGCGCUUCAAACCGGCGUGCUAGAGGAAGAUAGAGGUGGGCGGAACUGAUGGUGGAGCGGUGAAAUGCGUUGAUAUCAUCAGGAACACCGGAGGCGAAGGCGGCCCACUGGGUCUUUUCUGACGCUGAGGGACGAAAGCUAGGGGAGCGAACGGG
rnacentral:rRNA from 1 species